AUUGAACGCUGGCGGCAGGCCUAACACAUGCAAGUCGAACGAGUGGCGGACGGGUGAGUAAUGUCUGGGAAACUGCCUGAUGGAGGGGGAUAACUACUGGAAACGGUAGCUAAUACCGCAUACAAUCAGAUGUGCCCAAAUGGGCUUAGCUGGUUGGUGGGGUAAAGGGUCACCAAGGCGACGAUCCCUAGCUGGUCUGAGAGGAGGACCAGCCACACUGGAACUGAGACCGGGUCCAGACUCCUACGGGAGGCAGCAGUGGGGAAUAUUGCACAAUGGGCGCGAGCCUGAUGCAGCCAUGCCGCGUGUAUGAAGAAGGCCUUCGGGUUGUAAAGCACUUUCAGCGGGGAGUCGUUACCCGCAGAAGAAGCACCGGCUAACUCCGUGCCAGCAGCCGCGGUAAUAC
rnacentral:rRNA from 1 species